CACCCCCUCCGCCUCGCCGUCAACUUGCCCACUUCAAUUCCGCCGGCCGUGUGGCAGGAUGUGACGUCCUCGCUCGCUCAAUCUCCUCACAGCCAUCAACAAUGGUGGUCUGAUGAGUAUCAGGUGUUAUGAGAAGUUAAAAGCUGCAAGAGAACAAUGAAGAAAGGCUGGCAAGAUUGUGCUCUCUAAAAGAUGCCCAUAUAGAUUGGCAACAACGACCACUGACUCAAGAGUUAUCAUGUAACUGACUCAAAAUAUUACCUGAGCUAGCCCGUGUCAUCGCUGCCAUUGUCCAAUCCUAUCAUUGUCAUCAUAUGGACCAGGACCUCAAAGCUGAGAAGUUCCUAUUUAUCGGCAAGGAGAAGGACUGAAGGAGGAGCCUCCACUUGCCAACCACAAAUCCAGGUAACUUUGUUUUGGUUGCACCUUAAGUGAUUGUUGUAAUAAAAAAAAUCUAUCGUUGGCAUUUGAUAAUAAUAAUUAGUAAGUUACAUAAAUUGGAUGCCUUCCUACUUUUGAUGUACUUUGUAUUGAUCAACUCAAGUUCAUACAGAUAAGGAAGUUUGAUGCUAUAGAGUAGAGGAAUGCAUUUUUCACUGGCAUAUGUCGGCAUAUGAGCUUGCAUUUCUUCAUUAAAAAUUUAAGAGCAGUUGUUAGUCCCGGUUGUUUUGGGGUAACUGUACCAGCUCUUGUGAGUUAGAUGUGUUGGAUACUAGCAUAUAGUUGGAUAGUUUGAUAGUAACUCUUGGUAAGUUAAAUUAGAAGUAACCUGACAAAAGAAAUCCCUGUGGGGUUCUAUCUAUACCAAAGAUCUUGCUACCUGCUCAUUGCAUUGUCGUUGAUAAAUAAUGUGUCUUCCUACUUGGGAGGUUGCAUUCAUGCGAUUGAGUGACUGCUAAACUAUGCUCGAUUUUCCUAUUGUCAAAAAAUACUCAAUGUACAUCACUUGAGUAGCACUGCUUUGUUUGUACAGGGCAUAGCUAUAGUAUUUAAG